rnacentral:rRNA from 1 species
CCAAUAGCGUAUAUUAAAGUUGUUGCAGUUAAAAAGCUCGUAGUUGAAUUUCGGGAUUCUACCGUUGGUCGGGCUAACCAGUCUGUACUAGCGUGUAGAAUUCCUACCUUCUGGGGAACCAUCAUGUUAUUAAUUUAGCGUGGUGGGAAACCAGGACCUUUACCUUGAAAAAAUUAGAGUGUUCAAAGCAGGCUUACGUCUGAAUACAUUAGCAUGGAAUAAUAAAAUAGGACGGUGGUCCUGUUUUGUUGGUUUCUGAAUCACCGUAAUGAUUAAUAGGGAUAGUUGGGGGCAUUAGUAUUCAAUUGUCAGAGGUGAAAUUCUUGGAUUUAUUGAAGACUAACUUCUGCGAAAGCAUUUGCCAAGGAUGUUUUCAUUAAUCAAGAACGAAAGUUAGGGGAUCGAAGACGAUCAGAUACCGUCGUAGUCUUAACCAUAAACUAUGCCGACUAGGGAUCAGACGAUGUUAAAUUUUAUUGACUCGUUCGGCGCCUUACG